ACUGACAGGAGAGCAUUUUAA
rnacentral:miRNA from 1 species